UUGUCAAAAUGUAAGCUAUACAAAGCAGAGAAACUGCAUGACAUUUAUCCUGCCUGUCACUUUUGCAUAAAUAAAUGUAUUGGCUUGUUUCAUACAGGAUGAUCCUCGGCUGCUGAAGCCAGAACAGAAAAACAGCUGCAUUCUGCUAUAGCCUCAAAGCUUUGCACAGCCAAUCAUAAGCUUUAGGAUUUGAAUGGAUGUACAUAAAUAUGUUAAGAGGUAGUGUUUCAUAGAAAUCAAAGCAAUGGGGAAGCAUCUAUCUGGGGAGAGUGAAGUUAGCAGCAUGAUGCUCAGCCCAGCAGAAAAAAAUCAGCACCAGAAAAAGUAGACUCUUCAUCUUUUAUAGUCAAGAAUCUUCUUCACUGCAAAAAACAUCAGAUGGCAAAGAAGCUGUUGGCAUCUGGAAAUCUUAAUAAGACUGCCUGGAGAAGCCCCCACAAUUUUCUUGGCAAGGUUUUUCAGAAGUGGUUUGCCAUUGUCUUCGUCCUAGGGUUGCGAGAAAGAGAUUGGACCAAGGUUGCCCAGCUGCCUUUGUGCCUAAGGGAAAGAAGAUACCUACUGUUCAAGGAAAUCAAGAUAUUUUAAGGAAUCACUAUAAACAGUCAAUCUUGAUAAAAUAUUAAUCAUGUGCAUGGAGAAGAAUCUAUGUCACUGGAUCGCGUCUCUUUUAUAUGAAGCUGAAGGAGGCAGUGAACAAAAGAAUCUGUUGCAUCUGUGCCACCGUUCUCAUUUCUUCAAACUCCCACAGAAAUCCUUUUAUAAAUCUAAAACUGCAAACAUGGGGAAGGAAGUAUGCAGUGAAAGAGUCACCCCAUCUCAGAAGACUACAACGAUUUCACAGGAGGGGCAGUACAGCCUGAAGCUCUGGACUUUUUCAGCUGUGGUCUUUUGUGUUGUGCAGGCUCCCAAGGAAGCAGCAGUAGAAGAUUAUAAAAGAGCUCCUCUGGAAAUGCUUCAUCAGGAACGAGGGAAAAGCCAGAAGACUAUUUGGUGUUAAUGAGGAAACACUGAAAAAUGUCAUGGCAAAGAUACAUUGCAAGACUUUUGGUUUUUGUCAACCUUCAGAACAAAAGAUUCAUUGAUGUUAUACUACUGAAAUAACCAAUUACUUUAGAAGUCUUCAUUAAUCAGAAAAAAAUAAAUAAAAAGGCCUUUGAUUUUAAUUCAAAAGCUACAUUAGUAGUAUAUUGGGAAUAUGAUAAUAUAACUUGGCUGCUACUUUUGAUAACUAUGUUUUCAAUACCUUUCUCCAUGCAAUGCCAGACCAAAUAACAACACAUGUGUUUAAGGAGAUUAACAGCCUCUUGUACAAGGAUGCUUUUCUUUAUAUAUUUCUGGUUCUUUAUCAAAAUAAAUCUGACAUCCAGUAGUGCUUCUUUUUGAGACAUCAAAACCACAUUAAUAUAAGAUCAUAACAGUCCUGAAGUAUCAGUCCAAUAAUCCACUUGAUCUAGCAUGUUGUAUUUUUAGAAAACCUAGAAUAAGAGGAUGAUGGUUAAUAUCUAACGUUCACUGAUGGGUAGCAUCUAAGCAAACUAUCAUUAAGAUGAGAAGUUAUUGAUAGUCUUCAAGUAUUUUCCCAGUCCCCUUUUAAAACUAUCCAAAUUAAUGGCCAUAAACAUAUUGCAUGAUAGAAAACUAUGUAUUGACAUAGAUGUUUCUGCACCAAAGUGAUAUUUUUGAAUACAAAUAUAUAAUAUUAUUUUUAGGUUCUAUCCUUACUAUGUUUGGCUACCUAAAUAUAUACAGAUCAGUAGUGGGUUUCAAUUUCGGCCACUACCAGUUCACUCGUGGGUGUGCUUGCGCUCGCCUCCUGUUGCCGCUGCUACUGGUAGCAACCCACCACUGAUACAGAUCCACUCAAAUUCACUACAAUCAGAGAAACAGUUACUUUAAAACAAAAAAGUUUGCAAUAUAUGCAACAGAAAAGUUUUUGCGCCUAUUGGCUGCAAAAUUAUGAACAGAACUAGCUAUGUAGCCCUAAGAAAAAUAAACAGAAUAAAAAUAUUUUAAUAUUUAUUAAUUUUUCUGUUAUAAGCUUGAAAGGAUUUUAUUUAGAUAUUGCCAAUUUACCAGUAAACGCGGCCACAAUGAACUUUCCACUCCUAUUGUCUAUGUAACUGCUUAUCAGAUGGCUUCAAAGAAAGCUAUUUCUGGCCUUGAAAAAAAUAUCAAAUGUAAAAAAUUGAAGCUAGGCACAAUAAAAAAAAAAGUGUCAGUUAAGUAAACUUUACAAACUUUACAAGAAAAAAGAACAAAAAUCACAAUUUAAUGUUACCUUGAAAACUACGUUGUCUGUUGGUUUCAUUUCUGUUCUUCCUGAACGUGUUGGGUUUAAUUAGAACUCAAGUUCUAGUUAAGAAUAUUGCCAUUAUCCUAACACUCAAGCCAUUAACUUAAAACUUCAUUGGUUGAACAUGACCUCCUCUGCUUUGAAAAAGGUGAGAACACUCUUAUGGAUAUCAGUCCUUCAUUGAUCUGCUUAUGAAUAUCUUGCUGCUUAUGUAGCCUUAGAAGGCUACAUAAUCUCCUUAGGGAUAUGGAUACGUUCCACCAAUUGGUGCUAGAAAUUGGAAAUUGGUAUAUUGCUUUGCAAUGGAAGAACUAAAGAAAACUGACUUUUAAUCAACUUUUUUUUUCAAAAGUAGGACAGCAUGUUUCCAAUCUUCAAAAGUUUGGCAGAGCUGUAUUUUUUUUUUUAACUUCUGGAAAAAGCAUGUCUCUUCUAUAAUUCAUUUUGGGGGUGCAGUCACCCUGAAUUGUUUGGAAAUUUAGAAAUUCUGGCAUCUACACAGUAAUGUAAUACUGUCUGUGCAGAUAGACCUGUG